rnacentral:lncRNA from 1 species
UGUGUCAACUGCAACCAAAAAAAAUUUAAAAACAAGAACACUAUUCCCUUUGGCUUGGGAUGUGGAGGCAAGGGGAUUAUGAGUUCAAAGCCAGUCUCAGCAACCAGCGAGGCGCUAAGCAACUCAGAUCAUGUCUCUAAAAUAAAAUGCAAAAUAGGGCUGGGAAUGUGGCUCAGUGGUUGAGUGCCCCUGAGUUCAAUCCCCAGUAACAAAACACCAUUCAGGAAGGCUCUGCCCUCAUAGCCUAAUUACCUCCCCAAAGCCCCAAAGAAUUUGGGGGGAAGUUAUGGAUGAGGUGAUGCUUGUUAAGUUUCUCCAACACAUCCAUCUCCUUUCUGUACUCUUUGAAAGGAAGCCCACACGUAUGGGGGAAUUGUACUUCAACUCCUUGAGAAGAAGAAAUAGGGUUGUGUUGUUUUCUAUAUUCAGUGGGACUUCCCAAGACUGUGCAGGCUAUUGCUGGAUGUCCAAAAUCCCUGCUCACAAUUCACCAGAAACCAGUAGUGAAACCAACUGAAAAUGUCCAAGUUUCCAUAAUAACCCCUAGGGGUCAGUACUGCCCUAUUGAGAACCACUGAUAGAAGGUUUCCAAUUCUGGUCUCUCUCUCUCUCUCUCUCUCUCUCUCUCUCUCUCUCUCUCUCUCAAUAUUUUUUAGUUGUAGGUGGACACAACACCUUUAUUUUUACCUUUUAUAUUUUAACCCUUUAUUUUUUUUGUGGUGCUGAAGAUCAAACCCAGUGCCUCAUGCAUGCUAGGUGAGCGCUUUACCUCUGAGCCACAACCCCAGCCCCCAAUUCUGGUUUCUUUAAAGUGGAGCAUAAAUUUAAAGCAUUUACAAAGGAUUCUGAGUGCCGAAUCCAUACUGUUAUGCUUUCCUCCUGAUUUACAUAUGAUUUUCACAUCUAACUCAGCAGCAAUUUAUAUGAGCCAUUUGUCUUGGAGAGUUCUAUAAAAUGUUCAACUUUCUUUUCAUAUGAACUUGUUUGAGGACUAGGAGUGUAGCUCAGUAGUAGAGUGCUUACUUAGCAUAGGUGGGGCCCUGGAUUUGAUCCCCAGCCCUGCAAAGCGGGGGGGAACCCUUAAGUUCAUUUUUAAUGUUUUAUAUAACAUUAAAUUAUAUACUUGAAUUUUUUUUAGUUGUAAUUGGACACAAUACCUUUAUUUAAUUUAUUUAUUCAUAUGUGGUGCUGAGGAUCGAACCCAGGGCCUCUCACAUGCUAGGUGAGUGCUCUACUGCUGAGCCCCAAUCGCAGCCCCUAAAUUAUAUACUUCUAUAAUGACAAAGAUAACUGGAUUGAAUAUGUUUGUAUGGACACAGUUGACAGCUCAUCCACAAAUCAGAGAUGGAGCUAUCCAGAGAGGACAACCAGUUACAUUAACUCAGCCUUUCAAUUCUCAGUUCUUUACUGAAGAAAUGGUGAAGCAGAUUAGUAAUUGGAUAAGUGGAAAUUAAUUGAUAGAAUUUAUACUAUAAAUGCACAGGUUUGAGUCCCACAAUAUUAUAGAAGGUUUUUUUUUUUUUUUAUGCCAAUACCCAGGUCUGCUGUAGAGGUAAUGGAAUAGGCACUUUCAUAGACUUCAAACUGUUUACACAUUUCAUUUUGCAGUAGGUUUCAAGAGUUUAAAGACUAAAAUGUCCAGAUCCUUUUACUGGGUAAUAUUGUGAUAUUCUGGGAAUUCUGUUUCCUAGAAAAUAGUCAGAUUUCAAUGUCUAAAAUAUAUACAAUGUGUUGCUUGUGUUAUUUUCUAGCAACAAAAAAUUAGAAAUAAAAGCCCCAAAUGGAGAAAUAGUUAACAUUCAUAGUACCCAUAAUAAUAGAAUAUCAUCUAUUCUAACAUGACUUAAGCACUUUGUGCUUGAUUUAAACACUAUUUAAAACUCUAUUUAAACACCUGUGCCUUCAAAGAACACUUAAAAACAUAGCAAACUGCACCUGAGACAGGAAAUGAAAAAAAGCAUUGUACCCUUAAUCUCAGCGGCUCAGGAGGCUGAGGCAGGAAAAUGGCGAGCUCAAAGCUAGCCUCAGCAAUUUAGCGAGACCCUAAGCAACUUAGUG